AUUGAACGCUGGCGGCAUGCUUUACACAUGCAAGUCGAACGGCAGCACGGGCUUCGGCCUGGUGGCGAGUGGCGAACGGGUGAGUAAUAUAUCGGAACGUACCCAAGAGUGGGGGAUAACGUAGCGAAAGUUACGCUAAUACCGCAUACGAUCCACGGAUGAAAGCAGGGGACCGCAAGGCCUUGUGCUCCUGGAGCGGCCGAUAUCUGAUUAGCUAGUAGGUAGGGUAAUGGCCUACCUAGGCGACGAUCAGUAGCUGGUCUGAGAGGACGACCAGCCACACUGGAACUGAGACACGGUCCAGACUCCUACGGGAGGCAGCAGUGGGGAAUUUUGGACAAUGGGCGCAAGCCUGAUCCAGCAAUGCCGCGUGAGUGAAGAAGGCCUUCGGGUUGUAAAGCUCUUUUGUCAGGGAAGCAACGGCUGUGGCUAAUAUCCACGGCUAAUGACGGUACCUGAAGAAUAAGCACCGGCUAACUACGUGCCAGCCGCCGCGGUAACAC
rnacentral:rRNA from 1 species